CUCCUUUUCAUUUCUCUCUUCUUCCCGCAACCUCUUCAGAGAUUCCUUGUGCUGCAGCCAUUCCACAUAUAGUUCUGGAUCUGUUGGGCCCCACUUCUGACUCGGAGAUAUCGAUUUUUUGAUUGUCUAAAAUGUAGCUUCUUUAUGAAUAUAUAAGUACCAAAUACCCCACAAGGGAAAUUGAAGAAAUCCAAUUAAGAGCAAUAUCCAGCCGACAACUGCAAUGAUAAAUAUGAAUGCAUUCUUCAUGUACGAGGCUUAAUAUAUGUAUGUAUAUCUGGAUGAUUUCAUAUGAAAGAAGUGGGGUAUGACCACCCUGCAUAUGUUAAAGGUUCCAUGACCGCAAGUGAAUAUAUAAAAAUGACCGCCAAUAGUAAUGGAGUUAUUAUACCCCAACAAAGCCGCCAGUAAAUGGACACUUUUCGGUUGGUCAU